rnacentral:rRNA from 1 species
GUGCCAGCCGCCGCGGUAAUACCCGCAGCACAAGUGGUGGUCAUUAUUAUUGGGCCUAAAGCGUCCGUAGCUGGCCUGUUAGAUGCCUGGGUAAAUCGGUGCGCUCAACGCACCGAACUCCGGGUAGACCGGCAGGCUCGAGACCGGGAGAGGCAUGGGCUACUCGCGGGGUAGGGGUAAAAUCCUGUAAUCCUGCGGGGAGGACCAGUGGCGAAGGCGCCAUGCUAGAACGGCUCUGACAGUGAGGGACGAAGCCCUGGGGCGCAAACCGGAUUAGAUACCCCAGUAGUCC